GAUGAACGCUGGCGGCGUGCCUAAUACAUGCAAGUCGAGCGAACGGACGAGAAGCUUGCUUCUCUGAUGUUAGCGGCGGACGGGUGAGUAACACGUAGAUAACCUACCUAUAAGACUGGGAUAACUUCGGGAAACCGGAGCUAAUACCGGAUGAUAUUUUGAACCGCAUGGUUCAAAAGUGAAAGACGGUCUUGCUGUCACUUAUAGAUGGAUCCGCGCUGCAUUAGCUAGUUGGUAAGGUAACGGCUUACCAAGGCAACGAUGCAUAGCCGACCUGAGAGGGUGAUCGGCCACACUGGAACUGAGACACGGUCCAGACUCCUACGGGAGGCAGCAGUAGGGAAUCUUCCGCAAUGGGCGAAAGCCUGACGGAGCAACGCCGCGUGAGUGAUGAAGGUCUUCGGAUCGUAAAACUCUGUUAUUAGGGAAGAACAUAUGUGUAAGUAACUGUGCACAUCUUGACGGUUCCUAAUCAGAAAGCCACGGCUAACUACGU
rnacentral:rRNA from 1 species